rnacentral:rRNA from 1 species
GACGAACGCUGGCGGCGUGCUUAACACAUGCAAGUCGAACGGAAAGGCCCUGCUUGCAGGGUACUCGAGUGGCGAACGGGUGAGUAACACGUGGGUGAUCUGCCCUGCACUUCGGGAUAAGCCUGGGAAACUGGGUCUAAUACCGGAUAGGAGCCAUUUUUAGUGUGAUGGUUGGAGAGUUUUUUCGGUGUAGGAUGAGCUCGCGGCCUAUCAGCUUGUUGGUGGGGUAAUGGCCUACCAAGGCGGCGACGGGUAGCCGGCCUGAGAGGGUGGACGGCCACAUUGGGACUGAGAUACGGCCCAGACUCCUACGGGAGGCAGCAGUGGGGAAUAUUGCACAAUGGGCGCAAGCCUGAUGCAGCGACGCCGCGUGGGGGAUGACGGCCUUCGGGUUGUAAACUCCUUUCGCUAGGGACGAAGCUUUUUGUGACGGUACCUAGAUAAGAAGCACCGGCUAACUACGUG